AGCGAACGCUGGCGGCAGGCUUAACACAUGCAAGUCGAGCGGGCCCUUCGGGGUCAGCGGCGGACGGGUGAGUAACGCGUGGGAACGUGCCCUCUGGUCUGGAAUAACCCUGGGAAACUAGGGCUAAUACCGGAUACGCCCUUUUGGGGAAAGGCUUGCUGCCGGAGGAUCGGCCCGCGUCUGAUUAGCUAGUUGGUGGGGUAACGGCCUACCAAGGCGACGAUCAGUAGCUGGUCCGAGAGGAUGAUCAGCCACACUGGGACUGAGACACGGCCCAGACUCCUACGGGAGGCAGCAGUGGGGAAUAUUGGACAAUGGGCGCAAGCCUGAUCCAGCCAUGCCGCGUGAGUGAUGAAGGCCUUAGGGUUGUAAAGCUCUUUAUCCGGGACGAUAAUGACGGUACCGGAGGAAUAAGCCCCGGCUAACUUCGUGCCAGCCGCCGCGGUAA
rnacentral:rRNA from 1 species